UUCUGAGCUACGCGUUAAAUCGACGCCUGGGGAGUACGGCCGCAAGGUUAAAACUCAAAUGAAUGACGGGGGCCCGCACAAGCGGUGGAGCAUGUGGUUUAAUUCGAUGCAACGCGAAGAACCUUACCUACUCUUGACAUCCAGAGAAUUUAGCAGAGAUGCUUUAGUGCCUUCGGGAACUCUGAGACAGGUGCUGCAUGGCUGUCGUCAGCUCGUGUUGUGAAAUGUUGGGUUAAGUCCCGCAACGAGCGCAACCCUUAUCCUUUGUUGCCAGCGAUUCGGUCGGGAACUCAAAGGAGACUGCCAGUGAUAAACUGGAGGAAGGUGGGGAUGACGUCAAGUCAUCAUGGCCCUUACGAGUAGGGCUACACACGUGCUACAGUGGCGUAUACAAAGAGAAGCGACCUCGCGAGAGCAAGCGGACCUCAUAAAGUACGUCGUAGUCCGGAUUGGAGUCUGCAACUCGACUCCAUGAAGUCGGAAUCGCUAGUAAUCGUAGAUCAGAAUGCUACGGUGAAUGCGUUCCCGGGCCUUGUACACACCGCCCGUCACACCAUGGGAGUGGGUUGCAAAAGAAGUAGGUAGCUUAACCUUCGGGAGGGCGCUUACCACUUUGUGAUUCAUGACUGGGGUGAAGUCGUAACAAGGUAACCAAGGGCGAAUUCCAG
rnacentral:rRNA from 1 species